AUAGUGCUCGCAAAUUUGUGAGCAAACGAUGUACGCAAUCGUGACAAACUGUGCAUCUUACAUAUGCAUGUGCUCGCAAUUUAGCGAGCAAAGUCCCUGUGGUCGCAAAUUUGCGAGCAGAAAUAGGUGCUCUGUAAAUACUUAAUUCUUCUCAUUCGCUUAAUUCCCACACGCCCAAUUGCUCUCAUUUGUAUUGAAAAUGAAUUCAGACUUAAAUUCCUUCUUAAAUUCCUUGAAGCUGUCGAAUUCCUCCCCUGAUUCAAUUCUCACUGCCUCUCCCAAUCUCACCGUCUCCCCCAAUUCUCGUCCGCAAUAGGUGUGAUCCAUCUCUGCUCGAGGACGCUUCAUUUCCAGCUCAAGACAAAAUUUCCACCGGUUUUUCCUCUCACUGACUUCGUUUUCCUCUCAAUUGAGAUCGAGAGGCAGCCUUAGCAAAGUUAAAUACAUGUUGUUCUGGACAGUGAUGAAGCUCUAUUGAGCUCCUGAGGUGGCUCUAGGCUACGGAAUUGAGUAAUGUGUGCCUCUAAGAUCCAAAAGGUUCAAGUCAUAAAAAGAGCAUUUACCAAGAGUCUCGAAGAUCUAUACUUAAUCUAUCUACUGUCACCUAAACACGGGGUUGCUUUUUCAUCCGCAAAGUUGCACAAACUGGCACUAAUUUAUUGAGAAUCAAAUUCAGAGGUGAAGUGCUCAGAAAGCAAAUUGGAGCAGAGUUAUGACUCGACUUAUUUUAACACAAGUGAUACCCGCAAGUGUACGGGGCUAAUGUAGCAAUUAGCAAGCAAGAGUAUCAUAUCCCACAGAGACAAAUUUGUAUCAACUUAACUACCACGAACAAAUGUUGACUACUAUCUAGAGAAUCAUGAAAGGUUUGGUUGUUUUCUAACA